rnacentral:lncRNA from 1 species
AAUAAAACAAAAACAAAAACAAAAACAAACAAAAAAAGAACCACCGGGGAGUAUCUUCUGAUUCUGUGUACUUUAAGUCCCUUGGCUUCUCCUGGAAGUUGUCCGUCUAGCUGGUGUUCUGGGGGAGGGGCCUGUUGUGCUGAUUUUCAGGUGUUAGCAGUUGGGGGAGCUGCUGUGCCCCUGCCUGGUGCAGGGCUCAGUGGGGGUUGUUUACCCCGUGAGGCCGCAGGAGGAACAGCCCCAGUGGCGGGGCAGCUCUGGAAACCUGGAUUCAGCUCCGGCAGGAACUCCGUCUGCAGGGCCUGGAGGCUCCGGGCGGGGCCGCUGAUCUGCUCAGCUGGGGCAGGAGCGUCCUCGCUGUCCUGGGCCCUCCCGGCCUCUGCCUGUCCCGGAGGAGGCCGGAUCCUGGGCUGUGUCCCGGCGCCCUGUGCUCCGGAGCCUGCGCUGGUGGAUUCGCGCUCCCGGGCCGCGCAACCCCCUCCGCGGAGCCGCCGCCCGAGCCCCUCCGAGCUGCUCCUGGAACCGCGCAGGCCCCUCUGCACGGAGCCUCUUCCUCUGCCCGAGCCCGGCCGAGCUGCUCCCGGGGCCGCGCAGCCCCCUCCGCGCAGCCCCCUCCGUGGAGCCACCGCCCGAGCCCCCCGAGCUGCUCCGGGUCCCGCCGUGCGCGCUGCAGCCCUUAGGGAGCUCGGCGCACUCUCCUGGGUGCGCAGUUGCUGUUACUGUCCCCGGGAGCCCGAGGGCAUCCUCGCCCUCCUGGUUCCUGCUCCCACUCCCCGCGAGCCCCUUUCCGCCCGGGAAGGUCGGUGCAGCUCCUGCUCCUCCGGGACGGGGCUCUCCUGUCCUGGGGACACUCGCCCCGGCCUCAGCCUGGCUCCUCGCGGGGCCCCUCCCCCUUGGAGGCCUUUGUUCCUUUAUUUCUUUUUCCCCGUCUUCCUACCUUGAUAGAAGCACGAACUCUUCUCACUGUAGCAUUCCAGCUGGUCUCUCUUUAAAUCUCAGGCCGAAUUCAUAGAUUUUCAGGAUAAUUUGAAGGUUUUCUAGGUAGUUUGGUGGAGACAGGUGAUUUGGGGACCCUCCUCUUC